AUGCACCUUCCCAAUUCUUCUGAAAUUGCGAUUACCACCUUCUUUCUGAUUGGAAUACCAGGGCUGGAGCAUGCCCAUAUAUGGAUAUCUGUCCCCAUCUGCCUCAUGUACUUGGUAGCCAUCCUAGGCAAUUGCACAAUCCUCUUUGUUAUCAGGACUGAGCCCUCACUCCAUGCACCCAUGUACUAUUUCCUUUCCAUGUUGGCUGUCUCUGAUCUGGGCCUGUCCCUCUCCUACCUACCCACUAUGCUGAGGAUCUUUGUAUUCAAUGCCACAGGAAUCUCCUCAAAUGCUCGCUUUGCUCAAGAAUUCUUUAUUCAUGGAUUCACAGAUAUGGAGUCCUCAGUGCUUCUCGUCAUGUCUUUUGACCGGUUUUGGCCAUAUGCCACCCUCUGAGGUACAUAUCUGAGGUACUGGUGAGCUGUAUCCUCACCAGUGCCAGAGUUGCCAAAAUGGGGCUGUUGUUUCUCAUUAAAAGAGAAACAACACUAAACUCAUUAAAAGAAACAACUAACUCAUGCUGUUAGUACUCCCAUUUCCUUUCACUCUUACAAGGUUGACAUAUUGUAGGAAAAGCCUACUCUCUCAUUCCUAUUGUCUCCAUCAGGAUGUCAGGAAGCUGGCCUGCUCCGACAACACUGUCAACUUCUUCUAUGGUUUCUUUCUUGCCCUCUGUAUGAUGUCAGAAAGUGUGUUCAUUACUGUGUCUUAUGUGCUCAUCCUGAAGACGAUCAUGGGAAUUGGAUCCCAUAGGGAGCGGCUCAAGGCCCUCAACACCUGUGUCUCCCAUAUCUGUGCUGUGCUUAUCUUCUAUGCGCCCGUCAUUGCUUUGGCAUCCAUGCACUGCUUUGGCAUCCAUGAACUGCUUUGGCAAGCACAGGUCCCCACUGGCCAUGAUCCUCAUUGCUGAUGUUUUCUUGCUAGUGCCACCUCUUAUGAAUCCCAUUGUAUAUUGUGUGAAGACACAGCAAAUUCAUGAAAAAGUUUUAGGAAAACUGGGUCUA
rnacentral:lncRNA from 1 species